rnacentral:lncRNA from 1 species
GACAUCACCAAACGCUCACGUAAUAUUUUCGCCCCACCCCCCUUUUCGUCUUUUUCCGUCAUAUUUAGCUCAGAUAUAUAACUACCCCCCCCAACUAUUUUGCUUCAGACCCCCCCCGUCGACGAAGAGGAGGAUCCUCAGACCCCCCCGUCUCCCAGCCGAAGAGGAGGAUCCUCAGACCUCCCCCGUCGACGAAGAGGAGGAUCCUCAGACCCCCCCGUCUGAGCUAAUAUGUUGCUCAGCCGAAGAGGAGGAUCCUCAGACCCUUGCUCAGACGAAGAGGAGGAUCCUCAGACCCCCCCGUCUGAGCAAAUAUGUUGCUCAGCCGAAGAGGAGGAUCCUCAGACCCCCCCGUCUCCCAGACGAAGAGGAGGAUCCUCAGACCCCCCGUCUGAGCAAAUAUGUUGCUCAGCCGAAGAGGAGGAUCCUCAGACCCCCCCGUCUGAGCUAAUAU